CACUGCAGCCAUAUCACUCUGCAACUCACAACUGGCAACCCACUGAAGCUAAUCAGGUGCGAGCCUGGUCAGUACCUUGAUGGGAGACCUCCUGGGAAAGUAAGGUUGCUGUUGGAA
rnacentral:rRNA from 1 species